rnacentral:rRNA from 1 species
UACGGAGGGUGCAAGCGUUAUCCGGAUUUACUGGGUUUAAAGGGUGCGUAGGUGGGUAGGUAAGUCAGUGGUGAAAUCUUCGAGCUUAACUCGGAAACUGCCAUUGAUACUAUUUAUCUUGAAUACUCUGGAGGUAAGCGGAAUAUGUCAUGUAGCGGUGGAAUGCUUAGAUAUGACAUAGAACACCAAUUGCGAAGGCGGCUUACUACAUAGUUAUUGACACUGAGGCACGAAAGCGUGGGGAUCAAACAGG